rnacentral:rRNA from 1 species
CGCUGGCGGCGUGCCUAACACAUGCAAGUCGAGCGAUUCUCUUCGGAGAAGAGCGGCGGACGGGUGAGUAACGCGUGGGUAACCCGCCCUGUACACACGGAUAACAUACCGAAAGGUAUGCUAAUACGAGAUAAUAUGCUUUUAUCGCAUGGUAGAAGUAUCAAAGCUUUUGCGGUACAGGAUGGACCCGCGUCUGAUUAGCUAGUUGGUAAGGUAACGGCUUACCAAGGCGACGAUCAGUAGCCGACCUGAGAGGGUGAUCGGCCACAUUGGAACUGAGACACGGUCCAAACUCCUACGGGAGGCAGCAGUGGGGAAUAUUGCACAAUGGGCGAAAGCCUGAUGCAGCAACGCCGCGUGAGCGAUGAAGGCCUUCGGGUCGUAAAGCUCUGUCCUCAAGGAAGAUAAUGACGGUACUUGAGGAGGAAGCCCCGGCUAACUACGUG